GACGAACGCUGGCGGCGGGCUUAACACAUGCAAGUCGAACGGAAAGGUCCGGCUUUUUUGGGGUCCUCGAGUGGCGAACGGGUGAGUAACACUUGGGUAACCUGCCCUUGACCUUGGGAUAACUUCAGGAAACUGGGGCUAAUACCGGAUAGGAGUUCUUGCUGCAUGGUGGGGGUGGGAAAGUUUCGGCGGUUGGGGAUGGACUCGCGGCUUAUCAGCUUGUUGGUGGGGUAGGGGCUUACCAAGGCUUUGACGGGUAGCCGGCCUGAGAGGGUGACCGGCCACAUUGGGACUGAGAUACGGCACAGACUCCUACGGGAGGCAGCAGUGGGGAAUAUUGCCCAAUGGGAGGAAGCAUGAUGCAGCAACGCCGCGUGCGGGAUGACGGCCUUCGGGUAGUAAACCGCUUUCGCCUGUGACGAAGCGUGAGUGACGGUAAUGGGUAAAGAAGCACCGGCUAACUACGUG
rnacentral:rRNA from 1 species